rnacentral:rRNA from 1 species
AGGGCACCACCAGGAGUGGAGCCUGCGGCUUAAUUUGACUCAACACGGGAAAACUCACCCGGCCCGGACACUGGAAGGAUUGACAGAUUGAGAGCUCUUUCUUGAUUCAGUGGGKGGKGGUGCAUGGCCGUUCUUAGUUGGUGGAGUGAUUUGUCUGGUUAAUUCCGAUAACGAACGAGACUCUAGCCUACUAAAUAGAUCGUCGGCUUACAAACGCCGGCGAGACUUCUUAGAGGGACAGGCGGUGAUUCAACCGCACGAAACARAGCAAUAACAGGUCUGUGAUGCCCUUAGAUGUCCGGGGCCGCACGCGCGCUACACUGAAGUGAUCAGCGUGCUUUUUCAACCUACUCUGUCAAGAGUGGGGAACCCAAUGAACCUUCUUCGUGAUUGGGAUAGGGGAUUGUAAUUGUUCCCCUUGAACGAGGAAUUCCCAGUAAGCGCGAGUCAUAAGCUCGCGUUGAUUACGUCCCUGCCCUUUGUACACACCGCCCGUCGCUACUACCGAUUGAAUGUUUU